CAGAGUAGGCGCUUGAGCGAAGAGUGUCCGGCGGACGGGGAGUUGCCGCCGGAACGAAAAGGGGAAACCUGCGAUUCAAUUGCCGCAUCCCGCUGU
rnacentral:ncRNA from 1 species